rnacentral:rRNA from 1 species
UACAGAGGGUGCUAGCGUUGUUCGGAAUCAUUGGGCGUAAAGGGCGUGUAGGCGGUUUGUUAAGUCAUGUGUGAAAGCCCCCGGCUCAACCGGGGAACGACGCAUGAAACUGGCAAGCUAGAGUACCGAAGAGGGGGGUGGAAUUCCCGGUGUAGCGGUGAAAUGCGUAGAUAUUGGGAGGAACACCAGUGGCGAAGGCGGCUCACUGGACUGGUACUGACGCUGAGGCGCGAAAGCGUGGGGAGCAAACAGG